UGUCAUGGAAUCAGCCUAGCUUCCAUAGGCCUUCUCAGUACCUAUCAGAGCGAUUUGGAAUUUCAUGGUUCCAGGAAGUAGCUAAGUAAGUUCUGUAUUCAGCUCUUGUUCUAACUGGCAUAGAGUCCAAAGUGAGCAGGAGUAUUAAUCAAGGAGGAAGAGCCCGUGUAAAUGUGGAAAAACUCCAGGAUUGUGGCUUGGAGGUCACAAAAGUAAGUUGGAACUUCCAGGAACCUCUGCCUGAUGCUUCCAACUUCAAACACACCACCGACUUGCAGGGAACGCUGGCACAGUUGAUUAUUUUCUAAUGGACAUCUACCCAGCCUGAACCCCAGAAUAAUCUUUACUCCAUGGAGUGUGUAUGUGUGUAAAGGGUCCCAGAGGCAAGAUGGAGCCUACGACAACUUCCUGAGAACGAAGUUUUGAAAGCACAUACUUGCACUUCCACGAAAAUUUGUCACCAACACAGAGCCUUUGUCAGGUCUGACUGGCUACUUCAAUUCCUGCCUUGACGUCCUCCUAGUGAUGACCUCUAACCUGGAAUUGUAUGCCCAAUGACGGACCCCUUUCCUGACUUAAAGUUGUUUCUGUCAGGGUAUUUUAUUCCUUGACUCUGUAAGCAGCAAAGCAGGUUUGCAGGCUUCAGGAUCUAAUUCUUCCGGGUCUGCCUCAGGCAUGUAUUUUUUAAACCUAUCAUUUACUCAAUUGCAGACUUUCAUGAUCUCGAGGAGAGACAAAUUACUGACUCCGAAGAGCUUCGCCAGCAGAAAGAUGGCACUCACUCACUGGCCUUCACCGAUGGGUUUCUAGUCUGUUCUGGGACGUGAAGAGCAGAAUUGAGACGCCUUCAGCACAUCCAUCUGCCCUGACAUUUGGAUGGGAGUUGGCUCUUGCUGUGACAGGAGCGAAACUGUAUUUUGAAACACCUGUUCUUCAAAUUCCAUGGCUAUGUAGGAUUCCCUAGAGGCUGAGAUAAUAAAAAAUGAUCAAACAAAAUCCUCUUUUUUGGGGGGGACAGGGUCUCCUUCUGUAGUCCAGUCUGCCCCGUGUGUGAGUCAGUACUUUCAGACUGUCCUUGAACUCAUGACAAUCCAGAACCAUCAAUCAGUCAAGCUCCUGGAUGCCUUGGUUACCUCACC